AUUGAACGCUGGCGGCAGGCUUAACACAUGCAAGUCGAGCGGAGAUGAGGUGCUUGCACCUUAUCUUAGCGGCGGACGGGUGAGUAAUGCUUAGGAAUCUGCCAAUUAGUGGGGGACAACAUUCCGAAAGGAAUGCUAAUACCGCAUACGCCCUACGGGGGAGAGCAGGGGAUCUUCGGACCUUGCGCUAACAGGUGAGCCGAAGUCGGAGUAGCUAGUUGGUGGGGUAAAGGCCUACCAAGGCGACGAUCUGUAGCGGGUCUGAGAGGAUGAUCCGCCACACUGGGACUGAGACACGGCCCAGACUCCUACGGGAGGCAGCAGUGGGGAAUAUUGGACAAUGGGCGGAAGCCUGAUCCAGCCAUGCCGCGUGUGUGAAGAAGGCCUUUUGGUUGUAAAGCACUUUAAGCGAGGAGGAGGCUACCUGGAUUAAUACUCUAGGAUAGUGGACGUUACUCGCAGAAUAAGCACCGGCUAACUCUGUGCCAGCAGCCGCCGUAAGAC
rnacentral:rRNA from 1 species